rnacentral:rRNA from 1 species
CAACUUUCAACAACGGAUCUCUUGGCUCUCGCAUCGAUGAAGAACGCAGCGAAAUGCGAUAAGUAAUGUGAAUUGCAGAAUUCAGUGAAUCAUUGAAUCUUUGAACGCACCUUGCGCCCCUUGGUAUUCCGAGGGGCAUGCCUGUUUGAGUGUC